rnacentral:tRNA from 1 species
GAGGGUAUGGCACAGUGGUAGAGCACAUGCUUACCAUGUAGGAGGUCCUGGGUUCAAUCCCCAGUACCUCUA